AAUAGAUACCCAGGUAGUCCACGCCGUAAACGAUGGAUACUAGUUGUUGGAGGACUCGACCCCUUCAGUGACGACGCUAACGCAUUAAGUAUCCCGCCUGGGGAGUACGGUCGCAAGAUUAAAACUCAAAGGAAUAGACGGGGACCCACACAAGCGGUGGAGCACCUGGCUUAAUUCGAUACUGAGCGAGGAACCUUACCUGGACUUGACAUCCCGAGAAUUCUCUAGAAAUAGGGAAGUGCCUUCUGGAACUCGGUGACAGGUGCUGCAUGGUUGUCGUCAGCUCGUGCCUUGAGGUGUUCGGUUAAGUCCGUAAACGAGCGCAACCCAUGUCCUGUGUUGUAUUUCUCACAGGAGACUGCCGAUUCAAAAUCGGAGGAAGGUAUGGAUGACGUCAAAUCAGCAUGGCCCUUAUGUCCAGGGCUGCACAGGUGCUACAAUGGAUGGUACAACGGGUAGCAAUGCCGCAAGGCGAGCCAAUCCUUAAAGCCAUCCCAAGUUCGGAUUGGGGCUGCAACUGCCCUA
rnacentral:rRNA from 1 species